UUCCACAGCACGUUGCCAUCAAAAGGACUUAGUAAGGAAUCUCAAAUGUGCUUUCCAGUAUGAGAAAGAGAAAGAAGAAGUAAGCAAAAGAGGCCACACAGAAGAAUUUGUAGAUUUCAUUGAUACAGACUAUGGAAGAUAAUAUAAAAAGAGCUCUAGUAUGUAUGCUUAUCUCAUUAUCUCCAUUUUCAGCUGUAGCCACUGUUCUGACCAGUAAGGAAAGAGCAAUUUCUGUAGAGCUAAAUAAACACCAGACGCGUUUAGUAUAAAUCCAUCAAGAGCGAUCUGGAUCACUCCUGCCCUGCCACUUGCAUGGCAAAGAGGAAAGGCAGAAGAUUAGAUUGAUACUGACAACUCAUUCCCUGUGAAGGUGCCACGACGUGGCAUUUAUUUGCAUCUACAUUGCAGUUCUCUUCAUCAAUCGGCUUUGCAGAGAUCACUGC